CACGUAGGGGCAAGCGUUGUCCGGAUUUAUUGGGCGUAAAGAGCUCGUAGGCGGUUUGUCGCGUCUGCUGUGAAAACCCGAGGCUCAACCUCGGGCCUGCAGUGGGUACGGGCAGACUAGAGUGCGGUAGGGGAGAUUGGAAUUCCUGGUGUAGCGGUGGAAUGCGCAGAUAUCAGGAGGAACACCGAUGGCGAAGGCAGAUCUCUGGGCCAUAACUGACGCUGAGGAGCGAAAGCAUGGGGAGCGAACAGG
rnacentral:rRNA from 1 species